rnacentral:rRNA from 1 species
AUUGAACGCUGGCGGAAUGCUUUACACAUGCAAGUCGAACGGCAGCACGGGGCAACCUGGUGGCGAGUGGCGAACGGGUGAGUAAUACAUCGGAACGUGCCCAAUCGUGGGGGAUAACGUAGCGAAAGUUACGCUAAUACCGCAUACGCCCUGAGGGGGAAAGUGGGGGACCGCAAGGCCUCACGUUAUACGAGCGGCCGAUGUCGGAUUAGCUAGUUGGUGGGGUAAAGGCCUAACCAAGGCGACGAUCCGUAGCGGGUCUGAGAGGAUGAUCCCCCACACUGGUACUGAGACACGGACCAGACUCCUAACGGGAGGCAGCAGUAAGGAUAUUGGACAAUGGAGGC